rnacentral:rRNA from 1 species
UUUGAAAUCUGGCGUCUUCGACGUCCGAGUUGUAAUUUGAAGAAGGCGACUUUGUAGCUGGUCCUUGUCUAUGUUCCUUGGAACAGGACGUCAUAGAGGGUGAGAAUCCCGUGUGGCGAGGAUCCCAGUUAUUUGUAAAGUGCUUUCGACGAGUCGAGUUGUUUGGGAAUGCAGCUCUAAGUGGGUGGUAAAUUCCAUCUAAAGCUAAAUAUUGGCGAGAGACCGAUAGCGAACAAGUACAGUGAUGGAAAGAUGAAAAGAACUUUGAAAAGAGAGUGAAAAAGUACGUGAAAUUGUUGAAAGGGAAGGGCAUUUGAUCAGACAUGGCGUUUGCUUCGGCUUUCGCUGGGCCAGCAUCAGUUUUAGCGGUUGGAUAAAUCCUCGGGAAUGUGGCUCUGCUUCGGUAGAGUGUUAUAGCCCGUGGGAAUACAGCCAGCUGGGACUGAGGAUUGCGACUUUUGUCAAGGAUGCUGGCGUAAUGGUUAAAUGCCGCCCGUCUUGAAACACGGACCA